rnacentral:rRNA from 1 species
UACGUAGGGGGCGAGCGUUGUCCGGAAUCAUUGGGCGUAAAGCGCGUGUAGGCGGUCCGAUAUGUUCGCUGUGAAAGUCGGGGGCUUAACCCUCGGAUGCCGGUGAAUACUGUCGGGCUUGAGUACGGAAGAGGCGAGUGGAAUUCCUGGUGUAGCGGUGAAAUGCGCAGAUAUCAGGAGGAACACCAAUUGCGAAGGCAGCUCGCUGGGACGUUACUGACGCUGAGACGCGAAAGCGUGGGGAGCAAACAGG